AGCGAACGCUGGCGGCAGGCCUAACACAUGCAAGUCGAGCGCCCAGCAAUGGGAGCGGCAGACGGGAGAGUAACACGUGGGAACGUACCCUUUGGUUCGGAACAACACAGGGAAACUUGUGCUAAUACCGGAUAAGCCCUUACGGGGAAAGAUUUAUCGCCAAAGGAUCGGCCCGCGUCUGAUUAGCUUGUUGGUGAGGUAACGGCUCACCAAGGCGACGAUCAGUAGCUGGUCUGAGAGGAUGAUCAGCCUCACUGGGACUGAGACACGGCCCAGACUCCUACGGGUGGCAGCCUGAGACUCCAAGGCACACAGGGGAUAGG
rnacentral:rRNA from 1 species